rnacentral:rRNA from 1 species
UACAGAGGUCUCAAGCGUUGUUCGGAUUCAUUGGGCGUAAAGGGUGUGUAGGUGGCGCCGUAAGUCGGGUGUGAAAUUUCGGAGCUUAACUCCGAAACUGCAUUCGAUACUGCGGUGCUUGAGGACUGGAGAGGAGACUGGAAUUCAUGGUGUAGCAGUGAAAUGCGUAGAGAUCAUGAGGAAGACCAGUGGCGAAGGCGGGUCUCUGGACAUUUCCUGACGCUGAGGCACGAAAGCCAGGGGAGCGAAACGGGG